CGGACGGGUGAGUAACACGUGGAUAACCUACCUAUAAGACUGGGAUAACUUCGGGAAACCGGAGCUAAUACCGGAUAAUAUAUUGAACCGCAUGGUUCAAUAGUGAAAGACGGUUUUGCUGUCACUUAUAGAUGGAUCCGCGUCGCAUUAGCUAGUUGGUAAGGUAAUGGCUUACCAAGGCAACGAUGCGUAGCCGACCUGAGAGGGUGAUCGGCCACACUGGAACUGAGACACGGUCCAG
rnacentral:rRNA from 1 species